GACGAACCGUGCGAACGUUGUUCGGAAUCACUGGGCUUAAAGGGCGCGUAGGCGGCCCCUCAAGUCGGGGGUGAAAUCUUUCGGCUCAACCGGAAAAGUGCCCCCGAUACUGGGGGGCUCGAGGGGGGUAGGGGCGGACGGAACUUCCGGUGGAGCGGUGAAAUGCGUUGAUAUCGGAAGGAACGCCGGUGGCGAAAGCGGUCCGCUGGGCCCCCACUGACGCUGAGGCGCGAAGGCCAGGGGAGCGAACGGG
rnacentral:rRNA from 1 species